rnacentral:lncRNA from 1 species
AUCUAUUCCUCUGAGAUUCCCACACUUCCAAAUGGCUGAGGAGCAAAAGAAACCGCUCUAUAAGAAUAUGGUUUCGCUCUUAGAAGAGAAGUUCAGCUUCGUAUCUAUUCUCCAACAAAAUUAAAGAAGCAAUUCGUUACAUCCGAAAAAUUGUAACUGAAAUUUGCUUACAAUACAGAUCAAUGAAGGGCAACUUAUAUUACUCCCUCCUACGAGUGGCAAACAGGCGGGUCAGGUC